GAUCUUUUCUGUUCAUUUUGUACAAAUUUGGGCUAGAUUUGAAAAUGAAAAACGCAUCAAUAGACCAGAACAGCAUUAAUGUUGUGCAUUUCAAGUUGUUACUCUUCUACCAUCACGACUUGGAAAUUGGAGCGGAUGGACAUGUGACUCAGCCAGGCUCAGCAGCAGGCAGGCAGGUCUGACUUGGCCUAGUCUGGGCCGUUGGAUCCCCGUGCAAGUUCUGGAGCGAUUGCCUGGCUUUAGGCUAGUGCCAGCUAGUAGUAGUAAUGAUCCGGCCGCCAAUCCCUGACUCCUGAGCAGCUGACAAUAAUCUUCUUAGCCUUUGCUGACCGACCACCAUCAUGUCAGAUUCGGCAUCAGCAAUACGGAAGAGGAGGUACCACUACCAGAGAUUGUCUCUGGAUUUGGAUUGAAUUGAGAGAACAUCACAAGACUAACUAAUCGGUGCAAUUGAUGGCAGGAAGAAAUCACUGUGAUAUCAUCGACCAUGACCAUGAUUAUCUACUCAGCCCAGGAACAACAACAAGGAAGUUGGAAAAAAGUUGCACCUGUCGAGAAUUUACAUCAUAAGGAUGUACCGUCGCGGUGCCCCAUGCAAUGACAUGACCAAAUUGGCUGAAACAACAAAUGGCACGAGUACAUACGCAGAUACCAGAUCGAGUGAUGAUUACAUGCACAGUGCACAAGGCGCUUUUUAGGUACAGGCAUGCUGAUUGGCUGUUGCUUCCCCGGCUAACCUGAACCGCAGAUUGAAUGUUUCCGUUGCGGAUGCAAAAGAUCAAACGGCACAGGCAUUUGACAGCUGUAGAUCAAGCAGUCCGUGUACUUCUAGAUUCAAUAUGCAACUUCUCUCGUAGAAUACAGGAUUCUGGGUAUUUACACCUGGAUACAAGGGGAGAUGUCAAGAAUGUGGGAAUCCUCUUGCCUUUCAGGAUGAUUCCUACCAAGAAUGUCAGGAAAACUGCUGCUACUUACGUAGGAAUCAGUUGCAAUCCCAUCUAUACACAACAAAAAAAGUAAGUUCCUCCUAAAUCAAAAUGCUGUAACUUUUGAACAGAAUAAUUUUAAAAUAUAAUAUUUCGUAGGUGGUUUUUUACACUCAUUAAGCAACUUCUGGGGGUAAAUGAGAUUGAUCGAUUGGGUCAUGCAUGAGUAAUCAAAGAUUGAAUUAAAAAUUACCAUUUUUGAAAGUCGAUCAUAGAGUCGUUUUUCAGAUUGUGUAAAUACAAACAUGACAAAGUUGGGCAAAGGUUGUUUUGGGGUGAAUUUUAUGGUGUUAGCGCUGUUUUACUAUCCAGCAUUUAGACACUCCACACAAAAUUUUGAUAACGUAUGUUCAUGCUUGAGUGAGCACAUCAUUUUUGUGACGUAUCAUCAUAGGGGUUUAUGGUAGUAUCCUCUGUAACUUGUUAAAACAUGUUAAAAUUUGAAAAUGUUAGUUGCUCCCCUCCCCCAAUUUCUUGGCACCUCCCCACUUUCAAAUUCUGGAUCCACCACUGAUUUGUCCAUAAAUUCAACUGAUCCUAAAAAAUUGUUAGGAAAAGAAUACACUAAUGCAGUAAAAAGAGUUUUAAUUCCUAAGUUUUCAAGUGUGCUCGCUCAACCAUGAAAGUGUAAAAAGUUCGGAAAGUGUGUGGUGAUAAAAAUGAUGGAUAAUAAAAACAACACCAAAUAAAUUACAUUUAAAACCGAAUUUACCCCCAUUAUUCGCUUUAUAACCCCUCAAAAUGAGUCUGUGACAUUGUAAAUACCCCUUUACCCCUAGGCGUGCUCACUCAUCCAUAAAUAAAGAAAAGAUAAUUACAGUUACCAAAUUGAAACAUUACUUGCCAAUUAUAUUUUAAAAUCAUAUUUUUUGUUUUCAUUGAAUGGUCAUUGAGCUGUGAAAUGAUGAAUAUUGUUGAAGGUACUCUUCCC